ACGUACAACGGACAGACAGCCCCGUCGACAUGCACAGUUUUUUUGCGAAACCCCCCUCGCGGCCGGCAUUUACUGAGGAGAGAGAGCGCUGCCGUCGUCUCGUUCGUCGUCGGCUUCGGCGCGUGGUCCAAGGUGAAGCGACGAGCAGUGCGAGCGCUGUACGAACUGCUGCGGCUCGUCGACGGCGGCGAGGAUCCGGAGCGCACGGAGGGAAUCGUUUGGCGGGAACAGUUCGCGCCAUCUUCCCCGAAAAAUCCCUUCCUCCCUUGAUAAAAUCCCCACGCGCGGUGCUCUUCUCCUACCUGACGGCCACCAUGUCGCGGCAGGCAGAGAAGGCGGCGGCGGUGGCAGCCCGAGGUGCUCCGCGCGGUGCUUGCGGUAGGCACGGGUGCGGACCCAGCAGUGGUGGAAGGAGGGCGAGGCCCCACCCGUGCAUCUCAGCGCCUAGCCGCAGCCUGUGGGGCAGCGGCAGCCUCCCCACCGCAGCUCAGGCCCAUGCUCGCUCGCGGCGCGGCCGCCGAGAUCUCCCCACCGCCGCCGAGGCCUCCACAGCGCUGCUCGCCCACGACGCCUCCCCUCCUUGCUCUCGUACGGGCGCGGGCGCCGAGAUCUCCCCACCGCCGCCGAGGCCUCCACAGCGCUGCUCGCCCACGACGCCUCCCCUCCUUGCUCUCGCACGGGCUCCGUGCCUCUAUGGGGCUAGUGGGACAUCCAAUUUCAGUUUUCGUCAACGCCUAGGCCUGAUUGAGAUCGCUAGUUUGACGCACAGGCACCAGCUCAGCAAAGGAGCAAAAGGAGGCAGCAGAGACGAAAAGUUAGAUCAUGCAGAUACUAUGAAGUAUUUGAAACAGAAAUUAUUCGCUAAGAAUUAAGAGGGAAGCGUUUGGACCUAGUGUUUUUGGAUCUGCUGGAUUUUUGUGAACCGAGUAUCUUCUGCAAGUGUACACUAUCAUCUUUUAUUUAUUUAUUUAUUUAUUUAUUUGCCUCCAUGUGCGAACAAGUGUGAACUGAUGGAUGCAUGUAUGCCCGUUUGAAAUAACGUGUCUGGGUGCUUGCAUUCCCUUGUGAUAAUUCUGGUAUGGUAGCAGCACAAUGUUCUAGUGCAGUGGAAAUUCAAGUGUCGUGCUGCCUGCAUGCAUUCCUUUGUGUAUUUUCAUGUCUAUAACUAGCAGUCAGUAAAGUCUUAGAAUAUAUUUA